CGAAUUGGCGUUCGCCGUCGACGAGAACAUCCUCUGCGUCAAUGUCGAGUCCGAACCCGAACUGGAGCUCUUGUCAUCGAUCGCUGCCGGCAAGGGGAGGGCGGCCAACAUCUCGCUCCGGGUCAACCCCGACAUCGACGCAAGAACGCACGCCAAGAUCGCGACCGGCAAAGCCGAGAACAAAUUCGGAAUCCCGAUCAGCCGCGCCCGCGAAGUCUAUGCGCGCGCAGCCAAGCUUCCCGGUGUCAGCGUUGCCGGCGUCGACAUGCAUAUUGGCAGCCAGAUCACCGAGCUGCAGCCGUUCGACGACGCUUUCGCGCUGCUGUCGGAUUUCGUGCGGGCUUUGCGCGCCGAUGGCCAUCGAAUUUC
rnacentral:misc_RNA from 1 species